UACUUAUAUGAUAAUUAUACUAUAAUUUUAAGAAAAAGUUUAAUGAAGUGAAUGAGAUAAAGUUAUCAUGGAAUAACUGAUUAAACUCUUUAGUUUAAAUUUUAUUUGUGUUUGCUUCAGUUACAUAAGGUUAGUUAUAAUUAACAUUCAUUGCUAUUACAUAUCAUUGUUAAUAUUGGAUUAUUCACCUACAUAUGAAGUUUUCGGAUGGAGCAGAAGCCACAAAGCUGUUGGUCUUCAUACAGCAGGAUACGAACAGCGUUACGUAAGUAAUAUUAAAAACAUCGUUUUAUUUAUUUUAAAUAAUAAUCUUUUUUUUGUUUUCUAUCCGUACGAUGCUGAGCGUGCCCUUUUUUCACCGAACGUCAUACCUAUCGAUGAAUCGCGACAAGCAUAACCUUUUUCCGGGGGCCACACCGGAAAACUGGGAAACUAGGACAAAAUUUGUUCAAGCUAUUUUGCCGAAUUCGAACAAAAGAGUAAGCAUACCACCGAUUUAAUGAACAUCAGUUGCAACUCCCUCACUUAACGCAUAUUGUGUAUUUAAUUGUGUUUUCAUGUGUACCACGUCACACAUCGUUCUUGAUCCUCUGGGAGCACACGAACUCGAGCAGGACGUUUGGCUAAUAUCAUGGAAAACAGGUAAGCAAAUUAUCCACUUAUAACACGAACUUCUAACAUUUCGGUCCAUAACGACUAAUAUGACCCGGUAGCAAAAAUAUUCAAACGACAGUAAUACGCAACCCGGAACUAUAUGCUACACAAAUCAUGGAUUAUGUUAUCAGUUGGAUGAUGAAUCAUUAGAAACGUUUCAAUCCUAACACAACAAAAACUACAACUUUCUACUGCAGUUUGAAUAAAAAACAACAAUCAGUCGCACAUGUUGCAUACAGUGGAAAACUUAAACUUAAUUGUAACUCAAUUUGUUGGAAACAGUGCACUGAACUUCAUCGUAUCUAAUCAUGCGAUUUAUUUCUUUUAAUGCUAAAUAGUCUUCUGUUACAUGUAAUGCAAUUGCAAUUUGUGUAACUUUUACAAAAUAUUAUUAUGUUUGGUCAACAUGAAAGCGCAUUUGCCAUGACCUGGAGGACUGGAUGGUAUGAUGCCGGCUCUUGCAUAUCAUCAUCUGGGAGAUAGUGCAAGAUGCUAAUUGGUGAGUGCAAAUGGUAUUUCGAUGAAAGGCUCUCACCUAUCAUGCAAAUGAUAGUGUGAGAAGCCUAUCGAUUAGUGCACAUGUUCUCCAGGUCACGGCCGAUGCGCUUAUGUGUGCUGUUACUUUGCUAGCUACAGCAUAAUACUCGACCCAACAUGAAAAACCAGCGCUACCGUAACUACUUACAUUACGGAGUAAAUUGUGUAAUAAUUUUAUAUAAAAAAAUAUUUUAGCAACACGGCCGUUCCUCGUUCCUCAUGAAUAAAAAAUAUGUAUAUUUUUAUUAUUGUAGUUUCUAUAAAACACAAAAGCAAAAAAUUAGAAAAUAUUCAUUUAAAGCUUUUGCUUCAAGCCACGAAUCAAUAGUUAUCCACUUUGCAAUUGCAUUUCGUGUAAUAGAAGACUGUUAUGCAUUCUUUCACAAUCAAAGAUAUGAUUCGAUUCGAUGAAAUUUAAUGCACUGUUUUUUACAAAUCAAGUUACAGUUAAGUAACAGUUUCCCUCUCUAUGCAACAUGUGUUACUGAUUGGUGUUAUUUUAAACUGUGCGAAAACGUUCGAACGUUGCAGUUUUUUUUGGGUUAGGGCUAAGACAUUCCUAAUCAUUCAUCUGCUAACUGAAUACUUAUCGUGUGAUUUGCGUAGCAUACGGUGCCGUGCUGCGGAAGCUAUCGUUUGAAUCUUGCGCUUUCUGGGUUAUGCUAGCUCAUUCUUUGAGAGUUAUUGUGCACAGCAUCAUCAGCAUCUACUAAAUGCGACCUUUUCUCUUUUUAUCUUUACUUUCAUGCACCCAACGAAUUACUUGCGUUAUGGAGCACAAAUGGUCGUAAACCAUCACACGAUGAGCAAAGGUAAAAUACACAAUAUACAUACCAAUUAUAGUACCUUCUCACAUCUAACUAAACCCUUUUUUUUCUCUUUUUCUUUGUGUUUUAAUGCAUUCAACUAUCAUUUCAUGCACUCACUGCGAUGACGAUGCGUUGCGUUCUUGAGCACAUUUGGACACAAACCGCUUGUGAUACGCGUUGAAGAAAGAUCAAUCUCACACUACCCAGACCAAGGUGUCUUUAGCCUUGAACAAGAAGGCUGCGCGAUAUAAUUGUACAUCGUAAUCGACUGGCCUUCCUGCAAGCUCUUUGAAUACCCCUGAAUGCAACCGAAACCAUAUGCGUCAACGGGACGGGGCAAUCGAUAGGACAUCCAUGCGGCACCUUUGCUUCAUCCUCCGCGUUUCUUGCGCAACCGUGAUUGACUCGACACUCGUGUUAGACUUGCGCUAGCCAAUUGCAAUCAAUCCCACGCAAGUUUCGAUUGCUUUCCGAUUUCCUUGCGAUGCAAUGGUUGCGUGUAUGGGGCUUUCCAUGAGGAGUUUUUCAUACAUCACCCAAUUGCAAUAAAUGUUCACGUUUUCAUGAGCACCCUACAUUCCAUACGUCGUUCCAUGUUCUAAGGGUCCCCAUCUUCCUACCUUUUGGAGUUUUUACGUAUCCUGAAGUUUCCGUGCGUUAUCUUGCAACCGAGCCUCUUAAACUAGUAAUACAUGAAACAUAUUGAAACAUGAAAUUGUAACUAACUUUUAAUUUGUAUUUCUUAUUGUGUAUUUAUGCAAUGUCUAUGUAUUCUUCGGGCGUAGGAAUGUUGGUCUAACUGUAGAAUAAAUGAUGAAUCAAGCAUU